AUUAGUCAAUGCUCGCAAGAGUGAACUAGCUAACUGAAAUCACAUGAGUCACUCUGUUUGAUAAUUGUGAUAACGUAAGGGAAAAAAAUGAUAUUACCUUACUAUUAGUGUUGUCCAAAACUGGUGCCAGAAGACUCGGUAAGGCCAGAGACGCAAACGUUAGUCGUCUUAAUCAGGCGUAAAGGGUAUGUAGGCUGCUUUAAAUUUUUAAAUUUUUAAUAGCUCUUUAUAAAUAUAAUAAUAAUAAAAAUAAUAAUAAUAAUAAUAAUAAUUUAAUUUUAUAUUAAUAAAGUAAAAUUUAAAAUCAAUUAAAGCUAGGAUCAAAUUGAGGAUAAACCAAAUAAUACUUAGUGUAGGGUUGAUAUCUAUAGAUACUAAGGGGAAUACUAAAGGUGAAAGCUUUUUAUCUACUAAUGAUUGACGCUGAGAAACGAAGGUGAGAAUAGGAAAUAGGAUUAGAUACCCAGAUACCUCUCACUGUCAACGAUGAAUGGUGGUUGUUAGUUUUUAAAAAAACUGGUAACGAUGUUAACACGAUAACCAUUCCGCCUUGCGAGUACGGUUGCAAAACUGAAACCAAAAAAAUUAGUCGGUCUCGAAGCAAACGAAGUGAAGCAUGUUAUUUAAUUC
rnacentral:rRNA from 1 species